rnacentral:misc_RNA from 1 species
CCUCGGGGCCCAACCUCCCAUCCGUGUUGACUUGACACCUGUUGCUUCGGCGGGCCCGCCGCGGUUCACGCCCCGGCCGCCGGGGGGUUCACGCCCCCGGGCCCGCGCCCGCCGAAGACCCCUGGAACGCUGCCUUGAAGGUUGCCGUCUGAGUAUACAAUCAAUCAAUUAAAACUUUCAACAACGGAUCUCUUGGUUCCGGCAUCGAUGAAGAACGCAGCGAAAUGCGAUAAGUAAUGUGAAUUGCAGAAUUCCGUGAAUCAUCGAAUCUUUGAACGCACAUUGCGCCCCCUGGCAUUCCGGGGGGCAUGCCUGUCCGAGCGUCAUUGCUAACCCUCCAGCCCGGCUGGUGUGUUGGGCCGCCGUCCCCCCCGGGGGACGGGCCCGAAAGGCAGCGGCGGCGUCGCGUCCGGUCCUCGAGCGUAUGGGGCUUUGUCACACGCUUCAGUAGAACCGGCCGGCUUGCUGGCCAACGACCUUCACCGGUCACCUAUAUUUUCUCUUAGGUUGACCUCGGAUCAGGUAGGGAUACCCGCUGAACUUAAGCAUAUCAAUAAGCGGAGGAAAAGAAACCAACAGGGAUUGCCCCAGUAACGGCGAGUGAAGCGGCAAGAGCUCAAAUUUGAAAUCUGGCCCCUCCGGGGUCCGAGUUGUAAUUUGCAGAGGAUGCUUCGGGCGCGGUCCCCGUCUAAGUACCCUGGAACGGGUCGUCAUAGAGGGUGAGAAUCCCGUCUGGGACGGGUGGCCGUGUCCGUGUGAAGCUCCUUCGACGAGUCGAGUUGUUUGGGAAUGCAGCUCUAAAUGGGUGGUAAAUUUCAUCUAAAGCUAAAUAUUGGCCGGGAGACCGAUAGCGCCCAAGUAGAGUGAUCGAAAGAUGAAAAGCACUUUGAAAAGAGAGUUAAACAGCACGUGAAAUUGUUGAAAGGGAAGCGCUUGCGACCAGACUCGCCCGCGGGGGUUCAGCCGGUACUCGUACCGGUGUACUCCCCCGUGGGCGGGCCAGCGUCGGUUUGGGCGGUCGGUCAAAGGCCUCCGGAAUGUGUCGCCCCCCGGGGCGUCUUAUAGCCGGAGGUGCAAUGCGGCCAGCCCGGACCGAGGAACGCGCU